AGAAAAUGACUGAGCGGCGAACGGGUGAGUAACGCGUGAGCAAUCUACCUUAGUUACAGGGAUAGCCCGAGGAAACUCGGAUUAAUACCUGAUAUUCUUUAAAUUUCGCAUGAAAUUAAAAGGAAAGGUCAGCCGAACUAAGAUGAGCUCGCGUUCUAUCAGCUAGUUGGUGAGGUAAAAGCUCACCAAGGCAACGACGGAUAGCUGGUCUGAGAGGACGAUCAGCCACACUGGGACUGAGACACGGCCCAGACUCCUACGGGAGGCUGCAGCAGGGAAUAUUGCGCAAUGAGCGAAAGCUUGACGCAGCGACACCGCGUGUGGGAUGACGGAUCUAGGUUUGUAAACCACUUUCAGGAGGGAAGAAAAUGACGGUACCUCCACAAGAAGCCCCGGCCAACUACGUGCCAGCAGCCGCGGUAAUACGUAGGGGGCGAGCGUUGUCCGGAUUUAUUGGGCGUAAAGAGCUCGUAGGCGGUUCAACAAGUCGGUCGUGAAAGUUCAGGGCUCAACCCUGAAAUGUCGAUCGAUACUGUUGUGACUAGGAUACGGUAGAGGUGAGUGGAAUUCCGAGUGUAGCGGUGAAAUGCGUAGAUAUUCGGAGGAACACCAAUUGCGAAGGCAGCUCACUGGGCCGCUAUCGACGCUGAGGAGCGAAAGCUAGGGGAGCAAACAGGAUUAGAUACCCUGGUAGUCCUAGCUGUAAACGAUGGAUACUAGACGUAGGAACUGGAUUGACGGUUUCUGUGUCGUAGCUAACGCGUUAAGUAUCCCGCCUGGGGAGUACGGUCGCAAGACUAAAACUCAAAGGAAUUGACGGGACCCCGCACAAGCGGCGGAGCAUGCGGCUUAAUUCGAUGAUACCCGUAGAACCUUACCUGGACUUGACAUAUAGGGAAAAGUUAUAGAAAUAUAAUGUGCAUUAGCGCCCUAUACAGGUGGUGCAUGGCUGUCGUCAGCUCGUGUCGUGAGAUGUUGGGU
rnacentral:rRNA from 1 species